UACAUGGCUGUUGAUCAAACGAAAUUUUUCCCGCGUUCAAUACUUCCGUCUGCGAUGAAUAUUAAACUGGUACCCUUAUCGACCUCGCCUAUUUCGUAUGUAGGUAGCAUCGAUCAGCGGGGAACCAGUUUACAAAUAUUUAAAAAAAAAUAUUGUCAAAAGUAUUAUAGCUCUUAAAAUAAAGGAUAUAUUCCAAUAUUUCUCCUAUAAAUUUUUUUUAUCGAUUAUUUUAAUACUUUGUAAUUGAUUGACAACUUCCGUCAACAUCAGAAGAAAACACAGAAGAUGGAGGCCGGAGGGGCAGUGCAGUGAGAAGAUUCUGCCUUACUUAACAUUAAGUCAUUCUUAGGAGAACUUCUUAGUAGAUAAUAAGCAGGCUGACUCUUUAUAAAUUGGGAAGAGGAAGGAGUCGGAACUGUACAUUCUGGAGGGAGUGGCUUGUGCUGAGUUUUAUUUUUUAAGGAAACUUCCAUUCAACAUGUUCAACAACAGAAAAUUUGUGAAUUAACCCACUGUAGAGUGCCAAAAUCUGUUGCAACAGAAUUAUAGUUGCAGAUUAAUCUAAUAGAUCUGCCUGUGAUGACCAUGAUUGGAACUAUAUCUUGUUUAGUAAAUGGACUUAAAUAAUGAUCAACUCCAAAAAGUACCAAAAACUGUUACAACAGAAUUGCUACAGUAUAGAUGCCUGUGAUGACCAUGAUGAUCGAGACUAAUAUUUUUGAUGAAGUGUUAAAGUGUAUACACAGACACAAACAUGGGCAUAGUUAAUUUGUUUUGUAUUAUAUAAUGUCCAUUAUGGGUUGAUUUCAUUGUCAUGUCAUAUAUUAUGAUUAUAGUUUAAAUAAUUUAUCUCCAA